rnacentral:misc_RNA from 1 species
AUAAAGAACAACGAAAAUAUGAAAGUAUAACAUGUUUUAGAAAGCUUUUCUCAGAAAAAUUUUCAGUUGCAGUUCAACUCGAUGCAUUCUGAUAACAAUAUAAGCUGGAUGAUAAUGUCUGUGGUUCAGUUUGACUUCGUGACACAAUGACAAUACUACUAAAGAGAAACAAGCGAAAGAUAAACUUGUCACGUGACAUAAACAUGGACCUAAAUACAGGAAAGCACAAACUUGUCACAUGACUUCACAAACCUGGACACAACCGAAACACAAGAAAGUCAUUUAUUCGGAUAAACAGUAGUCAAAUUUGUGCUAAAUCGGAUUCUCUUAUGAUAGGUUUUUUCGCGGAAAUAUACCAAAUCGCGGAAUACUAGAGUAGCCAAUCGAACACGCCACUCAACGAGAGUCAAAUAGAAGCGGCCAUUGUACGAAUGCGUUCGAAGCGCAUCGUCGCGGAAACGUAAAAAUCUUAACCAAUAAUGCGGUCGAGGAAAGAAUUGAGACUGAUAGAGAGGUGUUCGUGGAAUGCUUGCGAUAUUCCAAGAAUUGCAUGUGAUAUUUCUAGUGUCGUUCUAUCAACAUUAUAUUGAUCGUUAUUCGUAUAUGUGGUAAGUAGGUGGAAAAGAGAAUGGAAUGAGUAUGUGCAUGAUACUCAUGGAUAAAUCAUCAAUAAACUUUUCAAGAAAAUCAACGGAGAAAAAUUUUGAAUACGAUGUUUCGAUCAUGAUAUUUGAAAUAACCAGAUAUUUUUAUGACCAAUUAGAUUUAUUGAUGAUAGAAGAUUAAAACUGAAGUAUUCUUCGAACGUUCGCCGUAGAAUUUUUGAGAGAUCGGGUAGAUGCCCGUGCUUCAGCCGGCCGGAAACACCUACGCAUCAUGGUAGCGUGCGAGGUGAUGCUCAGCGAUGGGAACGACCACCUCACGAGACUUCUUUCAACAGAGUUGAAAAA